CAACAUUCAGGAUUACCUCCUUCUUCUUUAACGCCCCAUAGCUCCCUUCUUCUUCAUAAUCAAAAACAGGGAAAAAAAUCCUAGGGAACAACAUAGAAGACCUAACACAAAACCCUAGAGACCAAGACAACAACCAGCCGCCGCUACCAAUCCUAAUGGAACGCACAUACAGACGUCGCUGCCACCAAUCCUAACGCCUCCCCAUUUUAGAUUCUAUCAAAAUUCACUCUCUCAAAAUUGAAAAGAUCACAUACAUAUAGAAAUAGGAAAUCCAACAACCUCUGUCCGUCAAAAAAUAUUUUUGGCUGCGAAAGGAGAAAUAUUCUGCCUUCUUCAUAUUUUAAUUUUCGUUUUGAAGUUGGAAUUUGUUUAAAGUUUGAGUUUGCGAUCGGGUUUGGGUUCAAGAUCUGGUACCGAUCGAGAUCCUAUCCAGGGUUCGCGGUUUCAAUUUAGCUCGUGGUUCCUACUCAUUUGUAUUGGUGCUUCUUAAACAAAUUUUUGGAGCCGAACUUUGAAAUUGUCGAUCUCUUCUACCACUAUUAAAUUUUUUGCUUCAACAGGUUCAUUUCUUUCCCUUCACUUAAUAUGGAUUAUUGUGAAUCAAACUUUAGGAGAGCCAUUAAAAGAUAGCUUAAAAUCAGUAGUGAUUUCUAUGAUCUCGUUUAAUUCCUUGAGCCAAAAUUAUGUUGCACUAAUUGAGAUUCCUUUGAGUUUUAUUCCUUAGUAAAAUUUCUAGUUUGAGUGAAUUUAACUUGUAUUCAAAUUUUUAGUCAUACUGCUUUCACAUUGAAUUUGCAAUUAGUUGCUUGAGGUAUUUUUGAUAAAUGAAGUAAAGUCUUCUGUGCACUUUUUUUCUUUCCGUAAGUAAUGGCAUGAGUAUUUAAAGGUCUUCAUAAUUCACUUAUAAGGGUAUUCGAAAUAAUCAUGUGUUUUAGUGAUUUAACUUAAAAGUAUUUGAAUUAUUGUACUAAUUCACUGUUUGAGUCGAAUAUAAUUACCAAUUCAUCUUAUAGUUGAUAUAAUGUUCCAAUUUAAUUGGUAAAAUGCCUUGAAUGUUGGAUUUACCAUACAAUUUUAAGAUUUUAUCCUUUCGGUGGUUUUUUUGAGAAUUCCUAUUUUUAUAAGUACUUGGGUAGGCUAGCUAUAUGAUUUUGUUAGUUUCGAGGCGAGAAGUCAUUAUCUUAGUUGAAUUUAUCCGGAAAAUGCCCCGAAGAAUUUGUAUAUAUUUUAUUCGGGGUAUGCCCCGAAUUAUUUGUAUUUGGAGGCGGAAAGUAAAACUCUUGGUAUUUUUAUUUUCGUUUUUUUUAUUAGGCGGGGACGACCUCAAGCCUCUUGUGUGUUUAUUUUUACCUCAAUUUGGCUAUUUUAAAAGCCAACUAGAUCGAGUGUGCAACCGUACUUGUUACGGGACUUGGGAAGUGCCUAACAUCUUCUCCCGAGUCAAAUGAAUCCACUUACCCGAAUCUCUGAUGCAGACUUACUUUUGAGUCCAAAGUGUUUUAAAAGGAAAACCAGUUUUAAAAAGGGUGAUCUGGCAAACCGAAACCAAUGUCAAGUGUCGACUCUGAGUUAUUUCCUUUUGAAUAUAAUUUUGUCACUUUUUAAUUAAAAACCCUUUUAAGCUUCAUAAAAUCUUUUUAUUAUUUUUAAGAGGGUUAAGUGAGGUUUGUAAAAAAAGGAUGUGACUAGCCUCAAAAUCAAGGACAUACUCUCAUCACAGAAGGUAAAGGCAGGAGUUUCAAAGGAGUUCGAGCAACUAUGGUAGAUCCAGAGCUCGUGGAAAUACUAAGAAUCGAUCCAGAUCAAGAGCCAUAAAUUGCUACAAUUGUUAUUAAACUAGGUUACUUCAAAAGAGAUUUUCCAAAACAAGGAAGGACAAAGGUGAAACCAGUGGCCAGAAGAAUGACGACAACAUAACCUCCAUAAUACAAAACAAUGAAAAUGUUGUUAUUUUCAUAAAUGAGGGGGAGAAAUGCAUCCAUUUGACAGAUCCAGAGUCAGAAUGGGUGGUUAAUGCAAUAACAUCUUACCAUGCCACACCGGUAAGAGAUUUUUUUGUAGAUAUGUAGCAGAUGAUUUUGGUACUGUGAGAAUGAGUAACACAAGUUGCUCAAAGAUUGCAGGGAUUGGUGACAUUUGUAUCAAGACAAAUAUCUGAUGCACAUCGGUUCUAAAGGACGUGCAGCGUGUACUUGAUUUGCAGAUAAACUUGAUCUCGAAAAUUAUUUUAGACCGAGAUAGUUACGAGAAAAAUAUUUUGCAAAUCAAAAGUGAAGACUCACCAAGGGAUUAUUGGUGAUUGAAAAGGGAGUUUGUCGUGGCACGUUAUACAAGACAAAUGCAAAAAUAUGCCAAGGUGAAUUGAACGCGACACAGGAUGAGAUUUCUAUAGAUUUGUGGCACAAAAGAAUGGGUCAUAUGGGCGAGAAGGAAUUGCAGAUUCUUUCCAGAAAAUCACUCAUCUCUUUUGCCAAAGGUAAAACGACAAAACCUUGUGACUAUUGUUUAUUUGAUAAGCGGCGUAGUUCAAACAUUGUAUGAAAGAAAAUUAAAUAUACUUGAUUUAGCAUAUUCUGAUGUUUGUGGUAAAAUAAAAAUUGAAUCGAUGGGUGAUAACAAAUAUUUUGUUACUUUUUUUGAUGAUUCCUCACGUAAAUUAUGGGUUUAUAUCUUGAAACCAAAGAUUAGGUGUUUCAAAUUUUGCAGAAGUUUCGUGCUCUCUUGGAAAAGGAGAUGGGUUGAAAGCUAAAGCGUCUCCAAAGAGACAAUGGAGGUGAGUACACUUCAGGGAAUUUAAAGAGUAUUGUUCAAGUUAUAGGAUCAGACAUGAAAAACACAGUUCCUGAAACCCUACAACAUAAUGGCGUAGCAGAGAGGAUGAACCACACCAUUGUUGAGAAGGUGAGAAGCAUGCUCAGAAUAGCUAAAUUGCCUAAGACAUUCUGAGGUGAAGCAGUUCAGACAAUUUGUUACCUAAUCAAUAGAAGUCCAUCGGUUCCAUUGAAAUUUGACAUCCCAGAGAGACUUUGGAUCAACAAGGAAGUGUCUUACUCACAUCUAAAGGUGUUCAGUUGCAGAGCUUUUGCACAUGUACCAAAAAAGAAGAGAACAAAAUUGGAUGAUAAAUUCGCUCCUUGCAUAUUCAUCAGAUAUGGAGAAGAAGAGUUCGGGUACAAAUUGUGAGAUCCUGUAAAGAAGAAGGUCACUAGAAGCAGAUAUGUAGUCUUCCGAGAAAGUGAAAUUGGAAUUGUAGAUGACCAGUCAGAGAGAACAAAUAGUGGUAUAAUACCUAACCUUGUUACCAUUCCUUCUUCUAACUAUCCCACAAGUGUAGAAAGUAUGACCGACGUGGUUGCCGAGCAGGGGGAGCAACCUGGUGAGGUUAUUGAGAAGGGAGAGCAACUUGAUGAUGAUGUCGAGCAAUUGGAGUACCCCACUCAGGAAGAAGAACAACCUCAACUUCUAAGGAGAUCAGAUAGGACAAGGGUAGUCAUGCAGGUAUCCCUCUAUAGAGUAUGUCCUCAUCAGUUAUGAGGGGGAGACAAAAAAUCUUAAAGAUGUGUUGUCCCAUCCAGAAAAGAACCAGUGGAUGAAAGCCAUGAAAGAAGAGAUGGAAUCUAUACAGAAAAAUGGCACGUAUAAGCUGGUUGAACUUCCAAAGGGUAAACGAUCACUCAAAUGUAAGUGGGUCUUUAAACUCAAGAAAGAUAGAAAUGGAAAACUAGUCAGAUACAAAACUCGGUUGUUGGUUAAAGGCUUCGAACAAAAUAAAGAUAUUGAUUUGACAAAAUUUUCCCAUUCGUUGUCAAAAUGACUUCCAUUCGAACAAUUUUGAGUUUAGUAGCUAGCCUAGAUCAUGAAGUGGAGCAGUUGGAUGUGAAAACUACAUUUCUUCAUGGAGAUUUAGAAGAGGAGAUUUAUAUAGAGUAGCCAGAAGGAUUUGAAAUAGCUGGAAAGAAACAUAUGUCGUGCAAAUUGAAUAAGAGUCUUUAUGUGUUGAAGCAUGCACCAAGGCGUUGACACAAGAAGUUUGACUCAUUCAUGAAAAGUAAAACUUACAUAAAGACAUAUUCUGAUCCAUGUGUUUACUUUAAAAGAAUUUCUGACUAUAAUCUUAUUAUUUUAUUGUUAUAUGUAGAUGACAUGUUAAUUGUAGGAAAAAAUAAGGAGUUGAUUGCAAAAUUGAAGGGAGAUUUGUCCAAGUCAUUUGAUAUGUAGGACUUGGGCAUAGCACAACAAAAUUUGGGUAUUAAGAUAAUUCGAGAAAGAACAAGCAGAACGUUGUGGCUGUCUAUGGAAAUGUACAUUGAACGUGUACUAGAAUACUUAAACAUGAAGAAUGCUAAGCCAGUCAACACACCGCUUUGGAUGAUCUGAUCCAAUCUUGAAGGGCUAUACAUAUGCUGAUAUGGGAGGUGACAUUGAUAAUAUAAAAUCCACUACUUGAUAUUUGUUUACAUUUUCAAGGAGAGCUAUAUCAUUGUAGUUGAGGUCACAGAAGUGUGUCACAUUUUCUAUAACUGAAGCGGAGUAUGUUGCCACUACUGAAGCUGGCAAGGAGAAGAUAUGGUUGAAACUGUUCCUUCAAGAGCUUGGAUAGCAUCAAAAGGAAUAAGUCAUUUAUUAUGAUAGUCAAAGUGCAAUAGACCUUAGUAAGAACUCAUACCAUGCAAGGACCAAACACAUCGACGUGAGAUAUCACCAGAUUCGAGAAAUGGUAGAGAAUGAAUCUCUAAAGUCUUGAAGAUUUCUACAAUUGAGAAUCCCGCAGAUAUGCUGAUGAAGGUGGUACCAAGAGACAAGUUCAAAUUGUGCAAAGAACUUGUGGUUAUGCACAAGCUAGAAGUCUGAUAUUACCUCCUUCAGGUGAAUGUGUCUGAAUGUGGAGAUUGUGGGGUCCAUCCCCAUAAUGAAAAAAAACAAAGAGAAAUUUGCAAGAUGCCAAAUUGGAUUUGGCAAAAAGUGGGCUAUCAGAUCACCGAAACAAGUUUUGACAAAACUUGGUUUUGAUAUCAAUUUGCAAGAAUCAAAUUGGCAAGAUGCAACAAUGCAAGCUUAUCAUUGGUUGAAAGUGAGGCCAUUGAUUACCGUGAAUAUUAUUUCUGUGAGGGUUUAUUCCCAAUAGAAUCAAACAACUCUUAUAGAUAGAUGUGAUAGGAAGGAAGAACCAUUGAUAUCAUUUGCAACUGCUUGUUUCUGAUUGAUAUACAAGCAAUUGGGUGCGAGUAGAGAAUUUCAGUGUCGGCUUACAUAUAAAUUACGUACUAUCUUCUUACUGACAAUUGGAACGUUUUAGUUGAAUAGAAAUAUUAGAGUUUAGGCAUUAAUGUAGUUUGUGCAAUAUGGUAUUUUUUUUCCAUAUCUUGUAACUUCAAAAAAAUGCCCUAUCGAGGGAGUCUCCAACUCUACAUCUAUCUACUAUUAAGAAAGGAAGGGGAUAGGGUUUGAGUUACCCAGCGAAGUAACAAACAAGGUUCGGAAUAUAAGAAGUUGUCUCUGUUGGUAUUUUUUAUAAUGCAAAGUCAAAACUUCUUUACAACCAAUAGUCAUGGGUCUUCUUAUUUUUCAAUCUAUUUCCAAGUGUCUUCUUGUAUGAAGCCUUAAAGUCAAGAGUUGAAUAACUUUGACAAGUGGCUAUGCAAAUCUACCAUGUGUCUUCAUGCAUGGAAGCCUAGGUACAAUUGUUAAAUGGACUAAUAUAUUUGGAUAAGUGUUAAAAGACUAUCCACACAUGUCAUGCAUGAAACUUCCCUAAUUUCCCAUAAAUAAGAUGAUUAUUAGCCAUCAUAUUCACUCAAUUUUUAACCAAGAAUUCAUCUUGCUAAUCAUCACUUUCUUCCUAAAAUAUUUUAAUUUCUAUAAAAACUAUAGAAAAAACCUUCACCUCCCCUUCUUUUUGGGCAACUGUUUUGUGCAAAUUCUAAAUUUCUAGCCACGAGUGAACGUGUUUGGAGGUGCUGUGGAACCUUGGGGAAAGACCGGUCUUAACGAUUUGCACCCAAUCCGAAAGACCUUGUUUUUAGUCAAUAUUAUCUACUCAUUUAACUUACAAUUUGAAAGCGAUUUCAUAUAUAAUAUUGACUAAUAACCACCAUUUUGAAUAAAACACUUCCUGAUAUAUCAAGGCUUGAGCCUUUAGACGGAAAUAAUUAUAAGUGUUUGUCCCAUAAACUUUUAAUUUUCUUUGAACUAUUAGAAGUUGAUUAUAUUUUAUUUAACGAUCCUUCUGCUGAUAUUGUUACUGAUAAUUCUAAUUUUGCUUAAUGACUAACCAUCUCUUUGAUUUUUUCAUAAAUUAUAAAUAUGCUGAAGUCAUAUGGGAUAGUUUGGAGAAGAAAUAUGGUGCUGAUGACGUGGGAAAAAGGAAAUAUGUCGUUGGAAAGUGGAUCAAGUUUCAGAUGGUUGAUGAUAAGCCAAUCAUGGAACAUGUUCACGACUAUAAGAACUUGAGUGUUGAUGUUUUGAACGAGGGCAUGGAGAUGUGUGAGAUUCUUCAAGCUAAUGUUCUGGUUGAAAAGUUUCCACCUUCCUAGAGUGAUUACAUGAAUCAACUGAAGCACAAGAAGAAAAACUUAACUCUUCAAGAACUGACCGGCCACAUAUGGAAUGGAGAAGCAAACCAUCUCAAAGAUGAGGAGUCUGAACAGCUUAAGGAUAAGAUGAAAUCUCUCUUUCUCUUAAUUAUUCUACAGCUAGCCAUGUGGAAUCUUCUAAUACUUUUGUGAAAGACAGGUUUAAAGUAAAACAGAAGAAAGGCCUAAAGAAAGGACAAGUGAAGAAGUAGAAUUACUUCAAUAAGCCAGAGGCCAUAUUCAAAAGUCGAAAGGACCUUGCUAUGUCUUCAGCAAAAUUGGUCACAAGGCUUUUCACUGCAACCAGAGACAAGGACAAAGCUCAAAGAUUGGAGGAAAAACUCCAGUCCAAGCUAACCUAACUAGGGGGGGGGGNNNNNNNNNNNNNNNNNNNNNNNNNNNNNNNNNNNNNNNNNNNNNNNNNNNNNNNNNNNNNNNNNNNNNNNNNNNNNNNNNNNNNNNNNNNNNNNNNNNNNNNNNNNNNNNNNNNNNNNNNNNNNNNNNNNNNNNNNNNNNNNNNNNNNNNNNNNNNNNNNNNNNNNNNNNNNNNNNNNNNNNNNNNNNNNNNNNNNNNNNNNNNNNNNNNNNNNNNNNNNNNNNNNNNNNNNNNNNNNNNNNNNNNNNNNNNNNNNNNNNNNNNNNNNNNNNNNNNNNNNNNNNNNNNNNNNNNNNNNNNNNNNNNNNNNNNNNNNNNNNNNNNNNNNNNNNNNNNNNNNNNNNNNNNNNNNNNNNNNNNNNNNNNNNNNNNNNGGGGGGGGGGGGGGUAAUAUCAUUGUUGUUGUGGUUGUUGAGGCGAACAUGGUGGCUAACAAAACUGACUGGAUAUUGGUGAUAACUAGGGAAUAUGAUGCAUUUUACACUCCUUCAUGAUCAAGUUUUUAUUAGAAAUGUGUAUAAAAUAGUCCCAAAUGCUCACUAGUUGUUCUUGAUGGGAGGUUUAAUCAACAAGGUGACAAAGUGUCAAAAACCAGCUCAAAAGGAGUGAAACUUGCACAAUUACCAAGACAAGACAAAUCUUAGUCAAUCAGGGCCAGUGCGCAUCACACCAUUCUGUCGGUCCGCACAAGUGAUGUUCAAAGAGGUUUUUAUUCAGACCAAAAGGCAAUGUGGCCACAAGGGGUUUUGUGCGUCCGCAUUGGGAUCAUUGCUGUCGCACUUGAUUUAGUACAGUCCACAGAGCCAAGGUUCAGAGAGUGGUGUUUUUUAGGUUGAAGCUCAAUACGAUCCGCGGUCCUUUUUUGUGUGGAUCGCAAUGGAAGCCACCACGGCCGCACUUGAUUUCGUAUGGUAUGCAUUGCCCACGUUCAGAGAGCUUAUUAUUCAAGUUCAGAGCCUUAGUGCCGCCACACUUGUUUUUGUGCGGUCUGCACUAGCCCCCCAGGGAUAUUUUUUUCUAGAAUUUUCAGCCUAGUAUAAAUAGUUUCUUUUCCCAUUUUUAGGGAAUCAGAUAGUUUUGUACUGGGAGCUGCGCUCCUGACUUUGUUUCUUUUACCUAUUUUCAGUAAUUUUGGUGUGAUUUCAACAUUGAAUCUUCAAGUUUAAUUUAGUUAUUAAUUAUUAUGAGUUUAUCUUUAUCUAUUUCUUUAUUUUCAUCAAUAAUUAAUUAUUAGUAGCUAGACCCAUAAGCUAGGUUGUGGCUCAACCCUAGUGUGGGUAAUUGAUGGGUUUUGUGUUUUGAUGAAUGAUUGCCUAUGGAUGUUUGAUAUUUGGGCUAACUUAGGAUUUUAAUUGUUAAUUAGUAUUUGCAAACACUAGUUUAUGCCUAGUAGAUUUUGGCUCUUCUUGAGAAAGAGAGCCUAAGUCCAUGAAAUUAGUCCAAAAAGGAAUUGAGGCAUAUUCAAAAGAUUGAUAGCCUCAAUUAAAGGGUUAAACCUAGAAAUAGUAAUACUCGACUUGAAUCUUGAUUGCUUGUGAAAAUUUACAUACCCGAUUGGUCUUAAGAAAGUCAAUUCAGGCAAAAUCACUUUAACUACUUAGAGGUAUAGAAUGAGUAGGAUCGUGCAAUGGUUAUAUCAUACUCCUUAAAUGUGACAAUCUAGUUUUAGACUCAAGAACCCUCAAUUGACCACCUAGGCGAAAGUCAAUAUCGUAGUUCCUUUUAUCCAUUUGAAACCACUUGCAAUAGAUUGACCGUAGCUUUAUUUAGUCUGAUUAGCAUUGUAGUAUUAUAAAAUUAGAAUUAAAUUCAAAACUAAAAAUAUUUAGAAGUGCAAUUAAGAGCAAAUACACAACUCGACUUUAGAUAGAAAGUCGACUUUAAUAGCUAGCUCCCUGUGGAAAUCGAUCCUGACCUCAUCGGAAAGCUGCUUCAACCUCUCUUUCUACUCAAUAGGAGUGCAGGGUUGGCCUCGAUCACUUUUUAGCACCGUUGUCGGGGAGCUAACAAUUUGGUCUAUCUAUUUAAAUAGUUUUUUGUAUUGUUAUUCUUUCCUUCUUUGUUACUAAUUUGUGUAUGUCACAACUUGAGAUACAAAAUGGCAGUAAAUACUAAUGAACCUCUUGGAAAUGUGCUUGUGGGAGAGGAGGUAGAUGAUUUCGGAGAUAAUGAGGUGCCCUUUUUUACCUCAAGGACAACGUAGAGGCUGCUAGGCCAAUGCUAAUGCCAAUGAGAAUAUCUCAGAUCCUCCUCCGCCACCACCAAGAGUGGCUCAACGAGUGCUUCCAAACCAAGUCCAUGCAAGUGCAAUUGUCCCACCCCAGAUAGGGGCAUGCAAUUUCCAAAUUGCCAAAGUUAUAUUAACAUUGCUGGAGCAACGUGGGUAUUUCACGGGCGCUACCAAUCAAAAUGCUUACAAACAUCUCAAGGGGUUCACGGAUACCUGUUGGGGGAGCAAGCAAACUAAUGUGUCUGAGGAUGCACUUCGGUUGAGACUCUUCCCAUUCUUACUUAGAGGAAUGGAGUUGGAUUUGCUUAAACGACUUCCCAACCAUUCCAUCACUACUUCGGAUGAGUUGGCGGACAAGUUUAUUGCAAUGUUCUUCUCACCGGAGCAUAUGGAAACAUUACGGGAUGAUAUCUUAGCUUUCAAGCAGAAGCCCACCAAACCAUUGCAUGAGAUUUGGGAGAGAUAUAGAACCAUGGUAAAGGAAUGCCCCAACAAUGAUAUGAUCGAGACGAUGCUCCAACAGACUUUAUACUAGGGAAUUAACAUAACAAACCAGUGCAUAGUAAACUAACUUGUAGGGGGAAACUUCAUGAAGAUGUCUUAUGAUGAGACUUGUGACAUUCUUGAUGAGAUGUCUGACACUUCGUCUGCUUGGCAAAGUAAAGCCAAUUUUGGCCCAGGGUGACCCCAUAGUCACUCAUUUGCACAAAGAAUUACAUGAUCAUGGGCAAGAGAUAGCUAAGUUGACAAGAACCAUCAACCAACUAGCAAAGGCACAGUUACAAAAAGUUUAAAAUCCUCUCCAAAUGAAUGCUAUGGAGGGUGUUAACAUAAUAGUAAACCAAAGAAGCAAAGAGGUCAAUAGAACCAAGGGAGUUCGAAUCAAUUUGACAAUGAUUGUGGUGGAUUCCAAGAUGAUGGUUAUGAUGGGCAGAAUGAAGAGGUACAAUAUGUGAAUUAUUAUCAAGGCCAAAGAGGCAACUCUUCCAACCAAUAAUAACAAUGGAGAUCUCAGGGAAAUUGGGGUAAUCAACAACAAGGCAACAACAAUUGAAAUAAUCAACAACAAGGGAAUAAAUAUUGGGGAAACAAUAAUUAAAAUCCAAAUAAGGGCAAUCAAAGCAACAAUCAAAGCAAUCAAGGAAACUGAGGUAACAACAACAACCAGGAUGGAUGGAACAAUAACCUUGGAAAUCAUGGGCAAAUCUUUCAAAGGCCCCCAAUGUACCAACGACCGAGCCAUCCACCACCUUUUCCAUCCCAGGGUCCUAGUUCUUCGAACAAUUAAAUAGGGAGAAUUGAAAUGAUGUUUGAACAGACGAUGAAAAAGAAUGUUGAUUUCGAUGCGCAAUUGGCUUCUCACAAUACUUCAAUCAGGAAUUUGGAGGUUCAGCUAGGCCAAAUCUCACAGUAUUUGAAUACUCACCUUAAGGGCUCUACCGAGUGAUACGGUGGUUAACCCAAAGGGUGGGAACAACCAUGUUAUGGCGGUAACUACUAGGAGUGGACGAGGCGGUGAUGUGAAUGCCUCCAAACAAAAGCAAGCUUUGGGUGAUGAAGCUGAGUUGCAAGAAGAUAAAGUUCCUUUUGUGGUUGAGAAUGUGGUUGAUGAAAAUAUAAAUGAAGAACUGAGGAUUGAUAUUCAAGAUACCGAGGUGGAAACACAAAACGACGUGAACCCAUCUAGGAAACACGUAAUAGCCACGCCAGAGCUGGUUGUGCCAAAAGCCAAGCACCCUUGCCUAGGCCGCCUCCACCUUAUCCUCAGAGGCUAGCCAAGUAGAAAAAUGAGAAUCAGUUCAAAAUGUUAAUUGACAUGAUGAAAAGCUUAUCCAUCAAUGUGCCUUUGGUGGAGGCUUUAAAGUAAAUACAUGGCUAUGCUGAAUUCAUGAAAGAUUUGGUGGCAAAGAAAAGAUCCAUGGACUGUGAAACUAUUAAGAUGACCCACCAAGUUAAUGCUAUAGUACAUUCAAUGGCUCCGAAAUUGGAGGAUCCCGGUGCUUUCACUAUCCCUUGCACUAUUGGAAGUGCAGACUUUGGUAAAGCUUUAUAUGAUUUAGGGGCAAAUAUCAACUUGAUGCCGUACUCAGUUUUCAAGACUUUGGGUAUUAGGACACCGAGGCCAAAUUCCAUGAGAUUGCAAAUGGCGGAUAGAUUAAUGAAGCAACCAUUGGGUAUUGUUGAUGACGUGCUUGUUCGGGUGAACAAAUUUGUCUUGCCAGAUGAUUUUGUGAUCUUGGAUUGUGAGGUAGAUUAUGAAGUCCUGAUCAUAUUGGAAAGACCUUUCCUUGCUACGAGAAAGGCUCUAGUUGAUGUGGAAAUAGGGGAACUCACUUUUUGAGUGGGUGAUAAGAAGGUGGUCUUUCAUGUGUGCAAGUGAAUGAAGUAGCCCAAUUGUACCAAAGUGUGCUUAUUUGUGGAUCUUAUCACAGCUGUGAUAAUUGAUGAUACUAGUGCAAUGAUCAAUGUGGAGGACCCUCUAGAGGCUGUAUUGUUAAAUCUUGAUGUCAAUGACGAUGAGGGUCAUGUGGAGUGCGUGAAUGCUUUACAUGGAAUGUGCUCUUAUUCUUUAUUAGCCUAGGAAACUCUCUUUGGAUCUUGAAAAUAAAAGACUCCUCCUACAAAGCCGUCAAUUGAGGAACCUCUGGUGUUGAAGUUGAAGCCAUUGCCUCCACACCUCAGGUAUGAAUUCUUAGGCCCUAGUUUAACUUUACCAGUUAUUCUUUCCUCUUGGCUUACUAACAUGUAGGUAGAUGCCACAUUGGCGGUGCUCAAAAAGUAGAAGAAGGCAAUUGGAUGGACUUUAGCUGAUACUCGGGGAAUAAGCCUCGCAUUCUGUAUGCACAAGAUUAUUCUUGAAGAUGAUGCAAAACCCUCCUUGGAACAUCAAAGGAUGUUGAAUGAGGCAAUGCAAGAAAAUGUGAAAAAAGAGGUGAUCAAGUGGUUACAUGUCGGGGUUGUGUACCCUAUCUCUGAAAGCUCGUGGACUUUGUCGGUGCAGUGUGUGCCGAAGAAGGGUGGUAUGACCAUAGUGACCAAUGAUAAUAAUGAACUAAUUCCUACCUGGACAGUUACCGGAUGGAGGGUGUGCAUGGAUUUACGCAAGCUGAACAAGGUGACCCCCAAGGAUCACUUCCCAUUGCAUUUCCUUGACCAGAUGCUUGAUCGUAUUGCUGGCGUGCAUUCUAUUGUUUCUUGGAUGUAUUUUUUGGGUACAACCAAAUCUUGAUUGCUCUGAAGGAUUAGUAGAAGACCGCAUUUACUUGUCCAUAUGGCACCUUUUUUUUUAUCGAAUGCCUUUUGAGUUGUGUAAUGCACCGAUGGCAUUCCAACGGUGUAUGAUUGUCAUUUUCACCGAUAUGGUGGAAGAUAUUUUGGAGGUGUUCAUGGAAGACUUUAGUGUGGUGCGUGAUUCAUUUGAUGAAUGUUUGAAAAAUCUGGAUAAAGUGUUAGCCCGUUGUGAAGACACCAUUCUUGUGCUCAAUUGGGUAAAAUGUCACUUCAUGGUUGAGGAGGGCAUAGUGUUGGGUCAUUAAAUUUUAAAGCAUGGCAUAGAAGUUGAUAAAGACAAAAUAUAGGCGAUUUCAAGGAUUCCUUCCCCACUUCUGUCAAGGGAUUAGGAGUUUUCUUGGGCACACAUGGUUCUACUAAAGAUUUAUAAAGUAUUUUUCGAGGGUAGUGAAUCCUUUGUGUAAGCUACUAGAAAGGUAUGCCAAGUUCGUGUUCGAUGAGGAUGUAUGAUAGCAUUUGAACUUAUCAAGCAUAAGUUGACCACUACCCCUAUCAUUACCGCACCCAAUUGGAGCUUGCAUUUUGAGCUCAUGCGCGGCGCGAGGGAUGCUGCGGUUGGGGCAGUUUUGGGUCAAAAAGUGUACAAAAUGUUUCAUCCGGUGUACUACGCGAGUAAGACAUUGAAUGAGGCUCAAAGGAAAUACACGGUGACUGAGAAAGAGUUGUUGGCUAUUGUGUUUAAAAUGGACAAAUUUUGAUCGUAUCUCAUGGGAGCAAAGGUCAUAGUGCACACCGAUCAUGCUACCCUUAGGUACUUGAUGACGAAGAAAGACUCUAAAGCUAGGCUGAUGCGAUGGGUCUUGUUACUUCAAGAGUUUGAUUUAGAAAUUGUGGAUUGCAAAGGUAGUGAAAACCAAGCGGUGGACCACUUGUCCCGCUUGGAAGAGGAAGUAAGGCUGUGUGAUGGCCUAGAGAUCAAUGAUGCAUUUUUCGAUGAGCAGCUACUUUCUGUGUCAAUGAGUGAUAUUCCAUGGUUUGCGGAUGUUGCUAAUUACCUUGUGACUGGCAUUAUAUCGUGUGAACUCUCUUCUAACCAAAGAAAGAAGCUCGAAUAGGAUAGAUUGGAUUUCUAUUGGGAUGAGUUGUACUUGUUCAAGAUUUGCACAGAUGGUGUGAUCCGAAGAUGUGUCCCGUAGGAGGAGCAAUUAAGUAUCUUGGGGGCUAGUCAUUUCUCUCCCUGUGGUGGCCAUCAUGGUGGGGCAAGGACGGCUUCCAAAGUUCUUUGUUAUGGGCUUUAUUAACCAACGUUAUAUAAAUAUUCGAGUGAACUUGUGAAGAAUGUCAAAGAGCGGGUGAAAUUUCGAAGAAAGAUGAGAUGCCUCUCAAUACCAUUCUUGAGGUUGAUAUUUUUGAUGUAUGGGGCAUUGAUUUCAUGGGCAUAUUUGUAAGCUCGUGCAAGAACACCUACAUUCUAGUGGCGGUUGACCAUGUUUCAAAAUAGGUCGAGUUCGUGGCUUUGCCCAAUAAUGAAUCUAGGAGUGUGGUUGUGUUUCUCAAAAAGGUCAUUUUACAAGGUUUGAAACUCCUCGUGCAAUUAUAAGUGAUGAGGGGUCACAUUGUUGCAAUAGAGCUUUUGACACAUUGCUUGCCAAGUAGGGUGCCAGCCAAAAAGUAUCUACUCCUUAUCAUCCUCAGGCAAGUGGCCAAGUUGAAGUCUCAAAUAGUGAAAUCAAGAGUAUUCUAUCUAAAACGGUCAAUUCAAAUAGGACCGAUUGGUCUAAAAAGUUGGAUGAUGCUCUAUGGGCGUAUAGGACUACUUACAAGACUCCGAUUCGUAUGUAUCCGUAUCGGCUGGUGUUUGGGAAAGCUUGCCAUUUAUCGGUUGAGUUAGAGCACAAGGCCAUAUGGGCUUUGAGAAAAUUGAACCUUCAAUGGGAUGUAGCUACAAAUGUUCAGGUGGAGCAGCUUAAUGAACUUGAUGAAUUUCGAUUUCAUGCCUAAUCUAGUUCAUGAUUAUACAAGGAUAAGAUGAAGUACCUUCACGAUAUAUAUGCUUGUGGCAAGGAGUUCAAUGUGGGGGAUUUAGUUCUCUUGUUCAACUCCUGAAUAUGGUUAUUUCCUGGAAAGCUUAAGCCAACAUAGAGUGGGCUUUUGAAGUGGUGAUUGUGACUCCGUUUGGUGUACCUGAUCUGAAGAACCAAAAUGGUAAGGUUUUUAGAGUCAAUGGAUAUAGAGUCAAGCAUUACUUGGGUAAGAUUGAUGACAGCCACAUGGUGGCACUUCUUCUCAAAUGAUUUGAUGGUAACCUAUGCCGUGACACGACGUUACAUUAGGAACUUCUUGGGAGGCAAUCAAUGUGUUUAUCUUUUUGUUUUUCUUUGAUUUUCGUUAUAGUAUAAGAUUUAUUUUUGGACUGAAUUUUUGUGAGAUGUUGCAGGAUUGUGUUGAUG
rnacentral:lncRNA from 1 species